rnacentral:rRNA from 1 species
ACAGCAGUAGCCGCGGUAAUACGUAGGUCCCGAGCGUUGUCCGGAUUUAUUGGGCGUAAAGCGAGCGCAGGCGGUUAGAUAAGUCUGAAGUUAAAGGCUGUGGCUUAACCAUAGUACGCUUUGGAAACUGUUUAACUUGAGUGCAAGAGGGGAGAGUGGAAUUCCAUGUGUAGCGGUGAAAUGCGUAGAUAUAUGGAGGAACGCCGGUGGCGAAAGCGGCUCUCUGGUCUGUAACUGACGCUGAGGCUCGAAAGCGUGGGGAGCAAACAGGAUUAGAUACCCGAGUAGUCCCUGUCUCUUAUACC